GCUUCUUUUUCCACCGGAGCUUGCUCCACCGGAAAAAGAGGAGUGGCGAACGGGUGAGUAACACGUGGGUAACCUGCCCAUCAGAAGGGGAUAACACUUGGAAACAGGUGCUAAUACCGUAUAACAAUCGAAACCGCAUGGUUUUGAUUUGAAAGGCGCUUUACGGUGCCGCUGAUGGAUGGACCCGCGGUGCAUUAGCUAGUUGGUGAGGUAACGGCUCACCAAGGCCACGAUGCAUAGCCGACCUGAGAGGGUGAUCGGCCACAUUGGGACUGAGACACGGCCCAAACUCCUACGGGAGGCAGCAGUAGGGAAUCUUCGGCAAUGGACGAAAGUCUGACCGAGCAACGCCGCGUGAGUGAAGAAGGUUUUCGGAUCGUAAAACUCUGUUGUUAGAGAAGAACAAGGAUGAGAGUAACUGUUCAUCCCUUGACGGUAUCUAACCAGAAAGCCACGGCUAACUACGUGCCAGCAGCCGCGGUAAUACGUAGGUGGCAAGCGUUGUCCGGAUUUAUUGGGCGUAAAGCGAGCGCAGGCGGUUUCUUAAGUCUGAUGUGAAAGCCCCCGGCUCAACCGGGGAGGGUCAUUGGAAACUGGGAGACUUGAGUGCAGAAGAGGAGAGUGGAAUUCCAUGUGUAGCGGUGAAAUGCGUAGAUAUAUGGAGGAACACCAGUGGCGAAGGCGGCUCUCUGGUCUGUAACUGACGCUGAGGCUCGAAAGCGUGGGGAGCAAACAGGAUUAGAUACCCUGGUAGUCCACGCCGUAAACGAUGAGUGCUAAGUGUUGGAGGGUUUCCGCCCUUCAGUGCUGCAGCUAACGCAUUAAGCACUCCGCCUGGGGAGUACGACCGCAAGGUUGAAACUCAAAGGAAUUGACGGGGGCCCGCACAAGCGGUGGAGCAUGUGGUUUAAUUCGAAGCAACGCGAAGAACCUUACCAGGUCUUGACAUCCUUUGACCACUCUAGAGAUAGAGCUUCCCCUUCGGGGGCAAAGUGACAGGUGGUGCAUGGUUGUCGUCAGCUCGUGUCGUGAGAUGUUGGGUUAAGUCCCGCAACGAGCGCAACCCUUAUUGUUAGUUGCCAUCAUUUAGUUGGGCACUCUAGCAAGACUGCCGGUGACAAACCGGAGGAAGGUGGGGAUGACGUCAAAUCAUCAUGCCCCUUAUGACCUGGGCUACACACGUGCUACAAUGGGAAGUACAACGAGUCGCGAAGUCGCGAGGCUAAGCUAAUCUCUUAAAGCUUCUCUCAGUUCGGAUUGUAGGCUGCAACUCGCCUACAUGAAGCCGGAAUCGCUAGUAAUCGCGGAUCAGCACGCCGCGGUGAAUACGUUCCCGGGCCUUGUACACACCGCCCGUCACACCACGAGAGUUUGUAACACCCGAAGUCGGUGAGGUAA
rnacentral:rRNA from 1 species